GCAGGGUGUGGUGGCUCAUGCCUGUAAUCCAAGAUACUUGGGAGGCUGAGGCAGAAGAAUUGCUCGAGCCCAGGAGGCUGAGGUUGCAGUGAGCCGAGAUCCUGCCACUGCAUUUCAGCCUGGGCGACAGAGUGAGACUCUGUCUCAA
rnacentral:SRP_RNA from 2 species